rnacentral:rRNA from 1 species
AGAGUUUGAUCAUGGCUCAGAACGAACGCUGGCGGCGUGCUUAACACAUGCAAGUCGAACGAGAAUCGGAGCUUGCUCCGAGGAUAGUGGCGCGCGGGUGAGUAACGCGUGGAUAACCUGCCCUGGUAUCUGGGAUAACAUCUCGAAAGGGGUGCUAAUACCGGAUAAGCCCACGGGAACUUUGGUUCUUGCGGGAAAAGGUGGCCUCUGAAUAUGCUACUGUAUCAGGAUGGGUCCGCGUACCAUUAGCUAGUUGGUAGUGUAAUGGACUACCAAGGCUACGAUGGUUAGCUGGUCUGAGAGGAUGAUCAGCCACACUGGAACUGAGACACGGUCCAGACUCCUACGGGAGGCAGCAGUGGGGAAUAUUGCGCAAUGGGCGAAAGCCUGACGCAGCAACGCCGCGUGAGGGAUGAAGGUUUCUCGGAUUGUAAAGCACUUUUUGUACGGGAAGAAAAGCACCUGGUUAAUACCCGGGUGUCAUGACGGUACCGUAAGAAUAAGCACCGGCUAACUUC